AGUAACGGCGAGGGAAGCGGCAACAGCUCAAAUUUGAAAUCUGGCCCUUUCAGAGUCCGAGUUGUAAUUUGCAGAGGGGGCUUUGGGGGUAGUUGCGGGCUAAGUUCUUUGGAACAGGACGUCACAGAGGGUGAGAAUCCCGUACGUGGUCGCUAGCCUUUACCGUGUAAAGCCCCUUCGAC
rnacentral:rRNA from 1 species